AUAAUUAGAAGCAGUUUCCAGAUCAAAGGAAACACUAUUACACUGCUCAGGGAUCAGUCCACAAUUAGAGUGCUGUAUUCAAUUUUCAUUCUCAUAUUCUAAGAAUAAUGUUGGUAAACUGGACUCUAUAUCCAGAGAAAGGUAACCAGCGUGGUAUCUCUAAAGUACCAGAACAGAAAGUUGAAGAAGAUGCUGGUUUUAUCUAUUUUUAUCUUUCACCUCAAACCUGCCUCAUCUUCUGUAUUCCCGCUGCACGCAGCAGGAAUACAACUACCGAGUCACCCACGCUAGAAACCUGGGGAGGUCACGCUGCGUCCUUCGCUAACACUCCGGUCUUCAACUGGUCACUAAAUCUUGCUGAUUCUCUAACCCAAACACCUCACGUCAGUCACAUUUUCUGCAUCACCACGGCCUUAGAUUCGGUCCUCCCCAUUCUGUCCCGAGGUUAUCACUAAUAAUCUACCUGGUCUCCCAGUCUCAGCUUUACUCUUACAAAACCACUCUCCAUAUAGCAGAUACAGUGACUUUCCUGUACCCAAAUCUAACCUAGUUUAAAAUCUUUGAUUACUUCCAGUCAUCUUCAGAAUAAUGUUUAAAUCCACCUUCAUGGUUUACAAGCCCCCUGACUACCUAUUUAUUUCUUUGUGCACCAGGUACUUACUAAUCGUCUAUUAUGUGCUAAGCAAUGAGGCCAAAAGGAGGAAUGAGCCAGACAAGAUGCUGUCACUCAUGGAGCUUAUGAACUAAUAACUUCAUCUCCUGCUGUUGUCCCAAAGUUCCAGCGACACAGGAACAACCAGCAUUUCUUCAACUAUACCAUGUGAAUUCAUACAUCUGUGCCCGUGUAUAUUAAAGACUGGCCCAUUGCUUCUUCUGUAUUUGUCCCUUCCUCCAUAUUCCUGUACUGCUCUGUAUCUGUCUGCAAAUUUUUAUGUACUCCUCAAGACUCAGCUGCAAAUGUCUCUUCUCUGAAGCCUUUCCUGUAACCCUCACUCGGGCAGGGUUGGUUAUUCCUUUCUCCAUGUCAGCCGUGAACCGCCAACAUACUUCUUUUACACUGAACUGCAAUUAUAUAAUUAAACGUAUGUCUUUCACUGGGUGAUGACUUACAAAUGUCUUAUUUAUCCUUGAGAUCUUAGAAUCUAUUGUAUCCCCUCAGAACAGUGUCUGAGGGGAUACAAUAAGCUCAAUUAAUAAUUAUGAAACUGAAUAACAUGAUUGGUUACAUGAAUGAAUUUUUUAAAGGGUUAUGACAGAUAUUUCUUCAAAUACACUGAACUACUUAGGUGGGAGAGAAAUUUGUGCUUUUUUAAUGUUGCUACUGACAUCAUAAGUAACAACUAUGGCUAUAAAUUAAGAGAAGUACAACAGAGGGAGAAUUCUAGUGGGGUGAUUUGAAUCGUCUAGCACUGGAAAUCAGCUCCCUACCAGAGGAUGUGCUGAAGUGGAUGUUGUAGAAGGAACAGGCAUAUGAUGCUGGAGAGAGAAAAACAAACAUGAAAGUAGGUCAAAGGUUCCCUUAGAAGUCACCAGAAAACAGAAACUAGAAUACAAAGAAAAGGGGACUAAUCCUUUGAGAAGGACACUUGGCAUUAGGAAAACUAAUUUGAAAAAGGAGACAAAGGGCUCAGGUAUUAAGAGAAAGGCAGAGGAGGGGUUCAUUUAAGACAGUCUAGGUAUUCUUGGUAAAAUGGAAGCUCCUCUUAAAAAGAGAAAAAAAUUGUACUGAGAAUGUGGGAGAAGAAGAUAUUUUAGAAUCGGUCACUAAGGUAGAGCUUAAGUCAAUGAGACAUUCCAGACAUGAAAAUCUGUUUUAGUUUUAAAGGCCUAUAAAACAGGCAAUUUCAUUCUUUUCAUCCAAAUUUUAAAUCCCACUGUCCAGAAAUUCUUCCUGUUUUCUAACCAACUCAUUCAUAUUUCAGGUUAAGUAUAUUUGAUUUUUGAAAAUGAUUUUUGAAAAACGGCUUAAUUUCUCUACCAGAAGAUUUACUAAUUCAAGGCAAGAACUAAUAAUAGCAUUGCUACUCUCAUUAAUAAAUAGCAACUAUUACAACAGAGAGGCCUAUAAAAUUAGGAAUAAACAGAAAAAAUAGAGUAAUUCAACGUGGUGACUAGCUGUGUAUUUUGUAGAUCUUCUGUUGAAAGAACAAAGGAUAGAAUCCUUAAUUCUUAUGGUUGAAAAGAGUAUUUGAGAACAGAACAUGUAAUCGAAACUUCACCUUGAUCCCAAACAGCAUCUGGUAACAUUCUAGAGCUGCUCAGAGAGCUCUGCCCGCACAUCUGCGGUGAUGGGAAACUUGGUGCUCCCUGAGAGUCCAUUUAAUUUCUAUAUAUUUGGAAAGUCCUUCCUGCAUGCUAUGCCCAAAACAAAACAAAGCAAACAAACAAAGAAACCUGUGUCUAACUUCUCCCCAUUGUUAGUAACUGUCCUCUGGAAAAAGACA